rnacentral:rRNA from 1 species
UACAGAGGGGGCGAGCGUUGUUCGGAAUUACUGGGCGUAAAGGGCGCGUAGGCGGCCCGCUAAGUCGAACGUGAAAUCCCCAGGCUCAACCUGGGAACUGCGUCCGAUACUGGCAGGCUUGAAUCCGGGAGAGGGAUGUGGAAUUCCAGGUGUAGCGGUGAAAUGCGUAGAUAUUGGGAAGAACACCAGUGGCGAAGGCGGCUACCUGGUCCGGAUCUGACGCUGAGGCGCGAAAGCGUGGGGAGCAAACAGG